rnacentral:rRNA from 1 species
AGAGUUUGAUCCUGGCUCAGGACGAACGCUGGCGGCGUGGAUUAGGCAUGCAAGUCGAACGGUAUAAACCUUUCGGGGUUUAGAGAGUGGCGAACGGGUGAGUAACACGUAGGUAAUCUACCCUCAAAACGGGGACAACCCAGGGAAACUUGGGCUAAUACCGGAUGCGUGCAAGCAAUGUUUUGGCUGUUAAUGCUAUUCACGGAAGUGAGUAGUGUUAAUGGUUGAGAGCAUUAUUUGCAUAAAAGGUGGCAUAUGCUGCCGUUUGAGGAUGAGCCUGCGUCCUAUUAGUUAGUUGGUGAGGUAAUGGCUUACCAAGGCGAUGAUAGGUAGGCGGCCUUAACGGGUGGUCGCCCACACUGGGAUUGAGAUACGGCCCAGACUCCUACGGGAGGCAGCAGUCGAGAAUAGUCUACAAUGGACGGAAGUCUGAUAGUGCGACGCCGCGUGAACGAAGAAUCCCUUCGGGGUGUAAAGUUCUUUUAUACGUGAGCAGUGCCCUUUAUAUGAAUAGUAUAGAGGGAGGGAUUUAAGCGUAUGAAUAAGCAACGGCUAACUCCGUGCCAGCAGCCGCGGUAACACGGGGGUUGCAAGCGUUGUCCGGAAUUACUAGGCGUAAAGUGCAGGUAGGCGGAUAGAUAAGUUUAAGGUUAAAGGCUACGGCUUACCCGUAGUAAGGCGUUAGAUACUGUUUAUCUGGAAUGCGGUUGAGGGAGACAGAAUUCCUGGUGUAGCGGUGGAAUGCGCAGAGAUCAGGAGGAAUACCGAAGGCGAAGGCAGUCUUCUAAGCCGAUAUUGACGCUAAACUGCGAAGGUGUGGGGAUCAAACAGGAUUAGAUACCCUGGUAGUCCACACAGUAAACGAUAAUCACUAGGUGUUGGGUUCGUAUAGGACUCGGUGCCGGAGCUAACGCGAUAAGUGAUUCGCCUGGGGAGUACGAUCGCAAGGUUGAAACUCAAAGGAAUUGACGGGGGCCCGCAC